rnacentral:lncRNA from 1 species
GGUAAAAUUGAAUUGGUUCAGGAUUAAAGUUCUUUCGGAUUACAAAAAAUUUUUAUUAGAAUUAAACUUUGAGCUUGAAUUGAAAAUGAAAUUGAAACUUUUUUCGAUCAAGAGUUCUAAUGAAUUUGAAACAAAAUCCUUAUAAAUUUAGCACCAUAGCUUCAUGAAGAGGGAGGAGUCUCUGAUAAGCCAAAUCCUGCAACAAUUUUCACCACCAUUGUCCACUAAUAAAUACCCAAACACAAUAAUAGAAACAUAACGCAAUCGGCCAAAGAAUCCACCAUUUGCAAAUCCCACAUUAACAGAACCAUCACCAAUACCAUUACUGGACCACCAUCCACACCAUAGCCGCAACCCAAAAGCAACCAUAAUCCUUGCCACAACCCAUAAACCCAGAAAAUCAAGAAGCCACCUAAACUGCUUUGUCUCACCACCAUGCGAAUCACCAUCACUAGCAACUAAAAACCCAACCUUUCAUCACCGCCAGCCACACAACAAACAAUAGAGGCAGGAAAUCAAUUUCGCACCCUUACCUUUCAACCACCAUCAAACGCAAAAUAUCACCUGCAAAGCAACAAUCUAAAGACCUGCAAUCUCAAUCCAAACAGAUAGCAAGUGAGAUAUCAACAGGCCCAGAAACACAGCAAUCAAAUAUCAAUAAUAACAAAUAAAAAAAAAAGAACUUUGUGUAAAAACCUUUGUUUUGCCAGUGGCAAUGCUAGUGAAGGCUCACGGUGACUUGGGGAUUUUGAGGAUAAAAAAUGGUAGAGGUAUAGAGCGUGGGAAGUACAACAACAUACUAAAAUCUCAGCCAAAUUCGACAAUGGAAGAGGCUGAAACAGGGAAAGAAAAAUCGUGGCUUAAGUUUCAGAUCUACGCCUUUAGGAGCCAAUUUGGAAAAAAUCGACCAAAAAUCCGAGACAAGGAGGUUACAGAGAGCUUUCAGGUGAAAUUUGGGGGCCAGCGGUGGUCUACGGCGACAACCGGUGAUGAUCUACGGUGACGUACAGUGGUCAGAGGAGGCCGAGAUCUAGGAAAACUUGAAGCUAGCCGGUGUCCUAAAGUUCCUAUCAUUUAGUGAGAGAGGCAGAGAAGAAAAUAUUUAGAGAGAGAAGUUCAAAUAAAC